GAUGAACGCUGGCGGCGUGCCUAAUACAUGCAAGUCGAGCGAAUGGAUUAAGAGCUCGCUCUUAUGAAGUUAGCGGCGGACGGGUGAGUAACACGUGGGUAACCUGCCCAUAAGACUGGGAUAACUCCGGGAAACCGGGGCUAAUACCGGAUAACAUUUUGAACCGCAUGGUUCGAAAUUGAAAGGCGGCUUCGGCUGUCACUUAUGGAUGGACCCGCGUCGCAUUCGCUAGUUGGUGAGGUAACGGCUCACCAAGGCAACGAUGCGUAGCCGACCUGGGAGGGUCAUCGGCCACACUGGGACUGAGACACGGCCCAGACUCCUACGGGAGGCAGCAGUAGGGAAUCUUCCGCAAUGGACGAAAGUCUGACGGAGCAACGCCGCGUGAGUGAUGAAGGCUUUCUGGUCGUAAAACUCUGUUGUUAGGGAAGAACAAGUGCUAGUUGAAUAAGCUGGCACCUUGACGGUACCUAACCAGAAAGCCACGGCUAACUACGUGCCAGCCGCCGCGGUAA
rnacentral:rRNA from 1 species